UACGAAGGGGGCUAGCGUUGCUCGGAAUCACUGGGCGUAAAGGGUGCGUAGGCGGGUCUUUAAGUCAGGGGUGAAAUCCUGGAGCUCAACUCCAGAACUGCCUUUGAUACUGGGCAUCCUGAGUACGGGAGAGGUGAGUGGAACUCCGAGUGUAGAGGUGAAAUUCGUAGAUAUUCGGAAGAACACCAGUGGCGAAGGCGACUCACUGGCCCGUUACUGACGCUGAGGCGCGAAAGCGUGGGGAGCAAACAGG
rnacentral:rRNA from 1 species